rnacentral:rRNA from 1 species
AAAAGGUACUCAAGGGCGCUAAAUGGAUGCCUAGACGUAUAUUACCGAAGAAGGACGUGGAAGACUGCGAUAAGCCUCGGGAAGCUGUCAACAAGCUUUGAUCCGGGGAUUUCCGAAUGGGGAAACCCAGCAUGAGUCAUGUCAUGUUGCCACUUGCUGAACACAUAGGCAAGCGAGCGGGAACCAUCUGAACUGAAACAUCUUAGUAGGAUGAGGAAGAGAAAGUAAAUAACGAUUGCGAAAGUAGUGGCGAGCGAAAUCGCAACAGCCCAAACCUUUUAAGUUUUUAAAUAUGAGACUGAACUUAGGGAAAAAGAGCAGCCGAUCCCGGCGGAUUUAUUCCGACGUACCGCGCGAUGAGAAAUCGGGAUUCCCGCAAAAUCGAGAGAUUUUAGAGGGAUUUCAGAUAAAACCGUAGGUUUUGUCUCAUAUUUAAAUAAGUUGAUAGACGAAUACUUAAUAAGGGGUUGUGAUAUUACAUAUGACCAAGUCAGAGAACUUCAGAGCAAUUUGAAGGUAUCUGAUUUGCGAUACCAGGCUAUCAGCUGGUAGUAAGGUAAGAAAAUGGCGUGGUUAGCAGAAUAGUUUGAAUGACUAGCCAAAGAGCGUGAAAGCCGUGUACGCGAAAACGACGCUGACCUUAUGUAUGUUUUAUCGAGUAGGACGGGGCACGAGAAACCCUGUUUGAAUCUGGCUGGACCACCAGCCAAGGCUAAAUAUAAUAUACGAUCGAUAGUGAACUAGUACAGCGAUGGAAAGGUGAAAAGAACCCCGGGAGGGGAGUGAAAUAGAUCCUGAAAUUUAGUGCCUACAAGGAGUCGGAGCCGGCUUGUCCGGUGACGGCGUGCUUUUUGUAGAACGAUCCAGCGAGUUAAUUUUUACAGCGAGGUUAAGUCAAUUGACGGAGCCACAGUGAAAGCGAGCCUGAAUAGGGCGUUUAGUUGUAAGGAUUAGACCCGAAACCGGGUGACCUAACCAUGAGCAGGUUGAAGCCACUGUAACAGGUGGUGGAGGACCGAACCAGGAUACGCAGCAAAGUGUUUGGAUGACUUGUGGUUAGCGGUGAAAUGCCAAUCGAACUCGGAGAUAGCUGGUUCUCCUCGAAAUAGCUUUAGGGCUAGCGUCGUGUUAGUAGCACAUGGGGGUAGAGCUCUGUAAAGGACUGGGGCGGGCAACUGUACCCACCCUUAACAAACUACGAAUACCAUGUGUGUAACCACGGCAGUUAGAACAUCGGUGCUAAGAUCGGUGCUCGAAAGGGAAACAGCCCAGACCAUCAUCUAAGGUCCCUAAAUUAACGUUCAGUGGGAAACAAGGUGAGAUUUCUUAAACAGCUAGGAUGUUGGCUUAGAAGCAGCCAUUCAUUUAAAGAGUGCGUAACAGCUCACUAGUCAAGAGAUCUUGCGUGGAAAAUGUAACGGGGCUAAAACGUUAUACCGAAGAUAUGGAUGUCAGAUUUAUCUGGCGUGGUAGAGGAGCGUUCCUAUCAGCAGUGAAGUCGAAUCGGAAGGUUCGGUGGAGCGGUAGGAAGUGAGAAUGCUGGAAUGAGUAACCAUAAGAGAGGUGAGAAUCCUCUCGGCCGUAAGAGCAAGGUUUCCUGAGCCAUGGUAAUCAUCUCAGGGUUAGUCGGGCCUAAGCCGAGGCGCAGAGCGUAGGCGAUGGACAUCAGGUUAAUAUUCCUGAACCGGUUAAGUUUUGUACACUGUUCACGGGGAAGUAAUCGAAGCGGAUUCAUGGUUUAUCCGUCCAACCGAGCGGGAACGCAAAGGGAGUGAAAGUGAUUCUUCAGAGUCGCGAUUUUGGUGAAAGCCCUGGCUAGAAAAGCAGGUGUACCUAGUGGACUUAGCCGCCCGUACCGCAAACCAACACAGGUGCUCGAGUCGAGUAGACUCAGGCUUACGAGCGAACCUUCGCUAAGGAACUCGGCAAUACAGCGACCGUAACUUCGGGAUAAGGUCUGCCCCCACUUCGGUGGAUAUCAGCCGCGUUCACUCAGUGAAUAAUAGGUUAAAGAGUACAUUUUUAAUCACAAAACGAAUUUUCUGAGACACGAGCAAACGAAUUGUUCUUUGAACGCGAAUCUCUGAUAUCUAACGAUGUGGGGGCCGCAGCAAAAGAGCCCACGGAACUGUUUAUCAAAAACACAGGUCUCUGCUAACAUGAAAGUGGAUGUAUAGGGGCUGACUCCUGCCCAAUGCUGGAAGGUUAAGGGGAGCGCUUCACGGUGCGAACUGAAGCCCUAGUCAAUGGCGGCGGUAACUAUAACCGUCCUAAGGUAGCGAAAUUCCUUGUCAGGUAAGUUCUGACCCGCACGAAUGGAGUAAUCAUGUGGGCACUGUCUCAGCGAAGGACUCGGUGAAAGUGCAUUGGCGGUAAAGAUGCCGUCUGUCCGUACCAGGACGAGAAGACCCCAUGGAGCUUUACUACAGCUUUACAUUGAAUACGGUUUCAACAUGUGUAGCAUAGGUGGGAGACGUUGAAGCAGAUACGCCAGUAUUUGUGGAGUCACCAAGUGAAAUACCACCCUUGUUGUGAUUGUGUUCUCACGCUGACCGUUAUCCGGUUAGCGGACCGUGUAUGGUGGGUAGUUUAACUGGGGCGGUUGCCUCCUAAAGAGUAGCGGAGGCGUUCAAAGGUUGGCUAACUUCGGAUGGAAAUCGAAGUGAUAGUGUAUGCGCAUAAGCCAGCUUGACUGUGAGGAGUACAUUCCAAUCAGAGACGAAAGUCGGAGCAAGUGAUCCGCUGUACGUACAUUUGUACAUGAAUGUGGGAUCGACAGCGCAAACGGAUAAAAGUUACCCUGGGGAUAACAGGCUUAUAGCGCCCAAUAGUUCACAUAGACGGCGCUGUUUGGCACCUCGAUGUCGGCUCAUCACAUCCUGGAGGGGGAGCACCUUCCAAGGGUUCGGCUGUUCGCCGAUUAAAGUGGUACGCGAGCUGGGUUCAGAACGUCGUGAGACAGUUCGGUUUAUAUCCGGUAUGGACGAUAGGAAACUUGAGAGGAUCUACCCCUAGUACGAGAGGACCGGGGCGGACGCACCUCUGGUGUAUCGAUUGUGGCCACCUGCUGCAUUGUCGAGUAGCUAUGUGCGGACUAGAUAAGCGCUGAAAGCAUAUUAAGCGCGAAACUAACCUCAAGAUAAGGUUUCCCUAUGAGGACACAGAAAGACUAUCUGUUUGAUAGGCGCAAGGUGGAAGUGCAGCAAUGCAUGGAGCUAAAGCGUACUAAUAGUCCCAUUGCCUUUUU